rnacentral:rRNA from 1 species
AUUGAACGCUGGCGGCAUGCCUUACACAUGCAAGUCGAACGGCAGCGGACCUUCGGGUGCCGGCGAGUGGCGAACGGGUGAGUAAUAUAUCGGAACGUACCUUUCAGUGGGGGAUAACGUAGCGAAAGUUACGCUAAUACCGCAUAUUCUGUGAGCAGGAAAGCAGGGGAUCGCAAGACCUCGCGCGAUUGGAGCGGCCGAUAUCGGAUUAGCUAGUUGGUGGGGUAAAGGCUCACCAAGGCGACGAUCCGUAGCGGGUCUGAGAGGACGACCCGCCACACUGGAACUGAGACACGGUCCAGACUCCUACGGGAGGCAGCAGUGGGGAAUUUUGGACAAUGGGGGCAACCCUGAUCCAGCCAUUCCGCGUGAGUGAAGAAGGCC